rnacentral:pre_miRNA from 1 species
GCGAGGUUGGUUUUGUAUGUCCAGUGUCUGUCAAUGUCGUUGAUGGUGAUGCGCUUGUAUCUCGAAAGGACCAUUCGUGAGGGAAUGGUGUCGUCGUGUUACAAGCCCAUCACCCUCAACGACAUGACCCGCCUGUUUCAUACUCCACCAAACCUCGC